GCCAGUGUGUCACAGUGGUUUGAUUGUUGGACUAUGACUCUGGAGAUCAGGGUUUGAUUCCCAGCUUGGUCA